rnacentral:tRNA from 11 species
GCGGGCGUAGUUCAGUGGUAGAACGUCAGCUUCCCAAGCUGAAUAUACGGGUUCGAUUCCCGUCGCCCGCUCCA